UACAGAGGGGGCAAGCGUUGUUCGGAAUUACUGGGCGUAAAGGGCGCGUAGGUGGCCUUCUAAGUUGAACGUGAAAUCCCCGGGCUCAACCCGGGAACUGCGUCCGAUACUGGCAGGCUUGAAUCCGGGAGAGGGAUGUGGAAUUCCAGGUGUAGCGGUGAAAUGCGUAGAUAUCUGGAGGAACACCGGUGGCGAAGGCGGCAUCCUGGACCGGUAUUGACGCUGAUGCGCGAAAGCCCGGGGAGCAAACGGG
rnacentral:rRNA from 1 species